rnacentral:lncRNA from 1 species
AGAUAAGAGUGUAGGUGGUUGUUGGAGAAUAAUUUGCACUGAGGAUAACCAACAUUAGAAACUACUUGGAUGUCUACUCACUCGUCAGUAGUCUUCUUGAUGCUGUAGUGGUAUGAGUGGUCUUUUGAUCUACGGUAUUAUUGGCUAUUCACAACGAGGCUACUGAGUUUGACUGUAUAUUUUUUUGAUCCCUAGCCAUUUAGAUUCUUGCUGUAUAUGUUGGCUACAGUAGAUUUAGAUUCGCUAUUAGAGUAGGUGCACCUAGAUGGAAUCUAUCAACCUUGGUAGAAAAGAAAAAGCUCUAUG